UACGUAGGGCGCAAGCGUUGUCCGGAAUUAUUGGGCGUAAAGAGCUCGUAGGCGGCUUGUCACGUCGAUUGUGAAAGCCCGAGGCUUAACCCUGACGGCUGCAGUGGUACGGGCAGACUAGAGUGUGGUAGGGAGAUCGGAAUUCCUGGUGUAGCGGUGGAAUGCGCAGAUAUCAGGAGGAACACCGGUGGCGAAGGCGGAUCUCUGGGC
rnacentral:rRNA from 1 species